ensembl:miRNA
CCCCUGCUUAACUGGAGCCUUUGAGAGUAGCAUCAUUUGAGUUCCAUCCCUAGGUCAUUCUGAUUGAAUUGACUGGAGGUGGGGCUUAGGUUUUGGUGCUUUCUUACAUGCCCCAGAUGAUUGUAAC